rnacentral:rRNA from 1 species
AUUGAACGCUGGCGGAAUGCUUUACACAUGCAAGUCGAACGGCAGCACGGGUGCUUGCACCUGGUGGCGAGUGGCGAACGGGUGAGGAAUACAUCGGAACGUGCCCAGUAAUGGGGGAUAACCAACCGAAAGGUUGGCUAAUACCGCAUACGCCCUGAGGGGGAAAGCGGGGGCUCGAAAGACCUCGCGUUAUUGGAGCGGCCGAUGGCGGAUUAGCUAGUUGGUAGGGUAAAGGCCUACCAAGGCGACGAUCCGUAGCGGGUCUGAGAGGACGACCCGCCCCACUGGAACUGAGACACGGUCCAGACUCCUACGGGAGGCAGCAGUGGGGAAUUUUGGACAAUGGGGGAAACCCUGAUCCAGCCAUUCCGCGUGAGUGAAGGAGGCCUUCGGGUUGUAAAGCUCUUUCGGCAGGAACGAAACGGCCAAGGAUAAUACCUUUGGUCAAUGACGGUACCUGAAGAAGAAGCACCGGCUAACUACGUGCCAGCCGCCGCCGUAA